rnacentral:lncRNA from 1 species
GUCACAAUGGAGGCUAUGGCGCCAAUUUGUGGUAAAGCAAGAGAGAAACCAGAGUGCUAACUCUCGAGCUUGCUCUUGUCCUGGGAGGAGGCCAUCAGAGAGAGAGCCCCCUUCUGUGGAAUGAUUUGAUUGAACAUCAGAUAUCUGGAGUUCUUUUAUUGUCUGACUGGAUUAUUCAUGCUCUCAAGAGUAAGAUCAUUUACUUUCCUCUUGGAGCCAGAGGGGCUAGAGUCCAGAUUUGCCACAUCGCUCCGGCAAACCUCAGGAGCAGCAGAGAGCCCAGGCACCAGGAGAGCUGAGCCAGAGCUCGCCCGAGUUUACUGCUGUGUCACCACCAUCACCAACAUAAUUAAGAACUUUCUCAAAUGAGACCAUAAGGAAAAGCACAGACUGCAAAAGGACGGCCCGCCGGCUUGGAGAACGUGGACACAGUAGACUUUGAUCCUGCUGGAUCCCCUAGUAAAGGACAACACAGUC